GUGUAAGGUGUGAGACGUCAAUAGUAGUGACCAGUAAAGAUGAACAGCUUGUUUUAUUUAACGGUCUUUGCUAUUUGCCUUGUGGCAAAUUGUGGAACGACAUUCGCCGUACCUGCACUAUCUGAAGCGCAAAAACAUGUAGUGAGCAACCCCCUUCAUUCAUCUCAUCGGAUUAUUAGAGAAGCUCAUGCCAACCCUUCGCCAAUGAUUAUGAAAGAGGCUAUGUUUGCGGACAGUUUUUCACGGAAAAGAAGAGAAGCUAAAGGUGGAGGUUCUAUGCCGACGAGGAAAGGAUAAAUUCAGAACUCACAAGCAUAUCACCUGAAAAUGAUUUCUACUCGACUACAGCAAUAUUUAUAAGCAAUUAACAUUAUUAUUUGUACCUAGUGACUAGUUACUUAUUACUUAGGUGGGUACAUAAGUAAUAAACAGAUGGCAAAUUAAA